GGGUUGUGAGGUUAAGCGACUAAGCGUACACGGUGGAUGCCCCGGCAGUCAGAGGCGAUGAAGGACGUGCUAAUCUGCGAAAAGCGUCGGUAAGGUGAUAUGAACCGUUAUAACCGGCGAUGUCCGAAUGGGGAAACCCAGUGCAAUUCGUUGCACUAUCGUUAACUGAAUACAUAGGUUAACGAGGCGAACCGGGGGAACUGAAACAUCUAAGUACCCCGAGGAAAAGAAAUCAACCGAGAUUCCCCCAGUAGCGGCGAGCGAACGGGGAGCAGCCCAGAGUCUGAAUCAGCUUGUGUGUUAGUGGAACGGUCUGGAAAGUCCGACGGUACAGGGUGAUAGUCCCGUACACCAAAAUGCACAGGUUGUGAACUCGAAGAGUAGGGCGGGACACGUGGUAUCCUGUCUGAAUAUGGGGGGACCAUCCUCCAAGGCUAAAUACUCCUGACUGACCGAUAGUGAACCAGUACCGUGAGGGAAAGGCGAAAAGAACCCCGGCGAGGGGAGUGAAAAAGAACCUGAAACCGUGUACGUACAAGCAGUGGGAGCACCUUCGGGUGUGACUGCGUACCUUUUGUAUAAUGGGUCAGCGACUUAUAUUCUGUAGCAAGGUUAACCGUAUAGGGGAGCCGCAGGGAAACCGAGUCUUAACUGGGCGUUAAGUUGCAGGGUAUAGACCCGAAACCCGGUGAUCUAGCCAUGGGCAGGUUGAAGGUUGGGUAACACUAACUGGAGGACCGAACCGACUAAUGUUGAAAAAUUAGCGGAUGACUUGUGGCUGGGGGGUGAAAGGCCAAUCAAACCGGGAGAUAGCUGGUUCUCCCCGAAAGCUAUUUAGGUAGCGCCUCGUGAAUUCAUCUUCGGGGGUAGAGCACUGUUUCGGCUAGGGGGUCAUCCCGACUUACCAACCCGAUGCAAACUACGAAUACCGAAGAAUGUUAUCACGGGAGACACACGGCGGGUGCUAACGUCCGUCGUGAAGAGGGAAACAACCCAGACCGCCAGCUAAGGUCCCAAAGUCAUGGUUAAGUGGGAAACGAUGUGGGAAGGCACAGACAGCCGGGAUGUUGGCUUAGAAGCAGCCAUCAUUUAAAGAAAGCGUAAUAGCUCACUGGUCGAGUCGGCCUGCGCGGAAGAUGUAACGGGGCUAAACCAUGCACCGAAGCUGCGGCAGCGACACUAUGUGUUGUUGGGUAGGGGAGCGUUCUGUAAGCCUGCGAAGGUGUGCUGUGAGGCAUGCUGGAGGUAUCAGAAGUGCGAAUGCUGACAUAAGUAACGAUAAAGCGGGUGAAAAGCCCGCUCGCCGGAAGACCAAGGGUUCCUGUCCAACGUUAAUCGGGGCAGGGUGAGUCGACCCCUAAGGCGAGGCCGAAAGGCGUAGUCGAUGGGAAACAGGUUAAUAUUCCUGUACUUGGUGUUACUGCGAAGGGGGGACGGAGAAGGCUAUGUUAGCCGGGCGACGGUUGUCCCGGUUUAAGCAUGUAGGCUGGUUAUCCGUGCAAAUCCGGAUAAUCAAGGCUGAGGUGUGAUGACGAGGCACUACGGUGCUGAAGUAACAAAUGCCCUGCUUCCGGGAAAAGCCUCUAAGCAUCAGGUAACAUUAAAUCGUACCCCAAACCGACACAGGUGGUCAGGUAGAGAAUACCAAGGCGCUUGAGAGAACUCGGGUGAAGGAACUAGGCAAAAUGGUGCCGUAACUUCGGGAGAAGGCACGCUGGUGUGUAGGUGAAGUCCCUGCGGAUGGAGCUGAGACCAGUCGAAGAUACCAGCUGGCUGCAACUGUUUAUUAAAAACACAGCACUGUGCAAACACGAAAGUGGACGUAUACGGUGUGACGCCUGCCCGGUGCCGGAAGGUUAAUUGAUGGGGUUAUCCGUAAGGAGAAGCUCUUGAUCGAAGCCCCGGUAAACGGCGGCCGUAACUAUAACGGUCCUAAGGUAGCGAAAUUCCUUGUCGGGUAAGUUCCGACCUGCACGAAUGGCGUAAUGAUGGCCGGGCUGUCUCCACCCGAGACUCAGUGAAAUUGAACUCGCUGUGAAGAUGCAGUGUACCCGCGGCAAGACGGAAAGACCCCGUGAACCUUUACUAUAGCUUGACACUGAACAUUGAGCCUUGAUGUGUAGGAUAGGUGGGAGGCUUUGAAGCGUGGACGCCAGUCUGCGUGGAGCCAACCUUGAAAUACCACCCUUUAAUGUUUGAUGUUCUAACGUUGGCCCCUUACCGGGGUUGCGGACAGUGUCUGGUGGGUAGUUUGACUGGGGCGGUCUCCUCCCAAAGCGUAACGGAGGAGCACGAAGGUUAGCUAAUCCUGGUCGGACAUCAGGAGGUUAGUGCAAUGGCAUAAGCUAGCUUGACUGCGAGCGUGACGGCGCGAGCAGGUGCGAAAGCAGGUCAUAGUGAUCCGGUGGUUCUGAAUGGAAGGGCCAUCGCUCAACGGAUAAAAGGUACUCCGGGGAUAACAGGCUGAUACCGCCCAAGAGUUCAUAUCGACGGCGGUGUUUGGCACCUCGAUGUCGGCUCAUCACAUCCUGGGGCUGAAGUAGGUCCCAAGGGUAUGGCUGUUCGCCAUUUAAAGUGGUACGCGAGCUGGGUUUAGAACGUCGUGAGACAGUUCGGUCCCUAUCUGCCGUGGGCGCUGGAGAAUUGAGGGGGGCUGCUCCUAGUACGAGAGGACCGGAGUGGACGCAUCACUGGUGUUCGGGUUGUCAUGCCAAUGGCACUGCCCGGUAGCUAAAUGCGGAAGAGAUAAGUGCUGAAAGCAUCUAAGCACGAAACUUGCCCCGAGAUGAGUUCUCCCUGAGACUUUAAGUCUCCUGAAGGAACGUUGAAGACGACGACGUUGAUAGGCCGGGUGUGUAAGCGCAGCGAUGCGUUGAGCUAACCGGUACUAAUGAACCGUGAGGCUUAACCUUACAACGCCGAAG
rnacentral:rRNA from 1 species